rnacentral:rRNA from 1 species
ACCCAAGGUUUCCAGAGGAAGGUUCGUCCGCUCUGGGUAAGUCGGGACCUAAGGCGAGGCCGAAAGGCGUAGUCGAUGGACAACAGGUAGAGAUUCCUGUACCCGUAUAUAUGUGAAGGAAUGACGGAGAGAGGAAGCUGCAGCCAGCGGCUGGAAGAGCUGGUGCAAGCGAGAUAUCGGGAUGGCAGGCAAAUCCACCAUCCGAAACGAGAAGGCGUGAAGCGUACGGAAAGCUACGGCGAGUACGGAAGGCAGUGGAGGAACUUCCAAGAAAAGUUUCUAACGUUAAGUAUAUAUGGCCCGUACCGAAAAUGGACACACAUGGGUGAGGAGAGAAUCCUAAGGUGAGCGAGAGAACUAUAGCUAAGGAACUCUGCAAAAUGACUCCGUAACUUAGGGAGAAGGAGUGCUCAUAGAGAUAUGAGCCGCAGUGAAACGGCCCAAGCGACUGUUUACCAAAAACACAGCUCUCUGCUAAGCCGCAAGGCGAAGUAUAGGGGGUGACGCCUGCCCGGUGCUGGAAGGUUAAGGGGAGGGGUUAACGCAAGUGAAGCCCUGAACUGAAGCCCCAGUAAACGGCGGCCGUAACUAUAACGGUCCUAAGGUAGCGAAAUUCCUUGUCAGGUAAGUUCUGACCCGCACGAAAGGCGUAACGAUUUGGGCGCUGUCUCAGCUGUAGACUCGGUGAAGUCUUAGUACCUGUGAAGAUGCAGGUUACCCGCGACUAGACGGAAAGACCCCAUGGAGCUUCACUGCAGGUUGAUAUUGGGAUUUGAUGCAGCAUGUACAGGAUAGGUAGGAGGCAAAGAGAUGGAUACGCCAGUAUUCAAGGAGCCGCUGUUGGGAUACUACCCCUGUUGUAUUGGAUUUCUAACCGGACGACGUAGAGCCGUUGACGGGACAGUGUCAGUCGGGCAGUUUGACUGGGGCGGUCGCCUCCCAAAGAGUAACGGAGGCGCCCAAAGAUACCCUCAGCUUGGAUGGAAACCAAGCGCAGAGUGCAAAGGCAAAAGGGUGUUUGACUGCGAGACCCACAAGUCGAGCAGGGACGAAAGUCGGGCUUAGUGAUCCGGCGGUGCUGAAUGGAAAGGCCGUCGCUCAACGGAUAAAAGCUACCCUGGGGAUAACAGGCUGAUCUCCCCCAAGAGUUCACAUCGACGGGGAGGUUUGGCACCUCGAUGUCGGCUCAUCGCAUCCUGGAGCUGAAGUCGGUUCCAAGGGUUGGGCUGUUCGCCCAUUAAAGCGGUACGCGAGCUGGGUUCAGAACGUCGUGAGACAGUUCGGUCCCUAUCUGUCGUGGGCGCAGGAAAUUUGAGAAGAGCUGUCCUCAGUACGAGAGGACCGGGAUGGACGCAUCAAUGGUGGACCAGUUGUCACGCCAGUGGCAUAGCUGGGUAGCUAAAUGCGGAAGGGAUAAACGCUGAAGGCAUCUAAGUGUGAAACCCACUUCAAGAUGAGAUUUCCCAUUGCGCAAGCAAGUAAGACCCCUUAAAGACGAUAAGGUAGAUAGGUCAGGAGUGUAAGCAUGGUGACAUGUUAAGCGGACUGAUACUAAUAGGUCGAGGGCUUGACCGA